UGCAACUGUCUGCUCUAAAAGCCUUCGUAGU
rnacentral:piRNA from 1 species